rnacentral:lncRNA from 1 species
GUUGAAGUAUUGUUGAUUUCCAAGCUUGUGAUAAUUUCUGCUGUGCGAUGAAGUGAUUUGGUCAUGCACGUACACGCAUCGAUUCUCUUGCAGACUCUUUUCCUGCACAGAUUAUCACAGAGUGUUGGGCAGUUCCCUGUGCUGUCCUGUAGGACAGAGCUUUGGCUGGUUAGUGGACCAAAGGACAUAGGAGCUCUCAUCCCUGCAUAGGUGCUGCAGAGGAAGGAGGAGUCACAGAGGAAAAGGAACGUCUGGCCUCAAGGAGCUCACGGUCUCCUGAGCCGGACAGCUGACGUGGGCAUUUUAAAGCGUGGUCACUUUGCCCACAUGUUUCCCUAUCGGUUUUCCUUGCCCCUCGGUUAUUCCUGCACUCAUGCACCCAGGACUUCAGCCGAUCUGUCUCCCUCCUUCUGGGAAUGCACUCUGCUCCCCGAGCCCCUCACCCUUUCUUUUGCCUGUUGACAUCUUAACUGCCCUACAGGCCCAACUCACCCACUGCCCCCAGCGUGAAUUCUGUGCUUGUCCCUUAAACUGUACCUUUCAUUUCACGUUUUUCUUCCCUUUAGCUGUUUGUGUAUUUCUUAUUUUCUCUGUUGGAUUUAAAGCUUCUGAAGGGUUGAGACAUGUUGCUGAUUCCAUCAUGACACCUAACACUUGGAGUCUUGGAUGUUCCUAGGCUAGGAGUCCAGUCGGAGCUGUAGCCUUGCCUACACCACAGCCCCAGCAAUGCCGGAUCUGAGCCUCGUCUGCGAUCUACACCACACCUCAUGGCAACGCUGGAUCCUUAAUCCACUGAGCGAGGCCAGGGGUCGAACCCAUGUCCUCAUGGAUACUUGCUGGGUUCGUUAACUAUUGAGCCACGACGGGAACUCCAGAGAGAAUAUCUUUUGCACAGACCCCAAGGGGCCUGUGGAGGUGGUAAGAAUUUGAUGCAUUGAGGUACCUGCAAGAAGCCCUGUGAGUCUGGGGUAUGGAGAUGAAAGGGGAAAGCUGGGCAGGGCCCAUGUCUUAGGGGGAACUUGUCAGCCACACUGAGACAUCUUUGUUUCAUUGUCAAUGUGUUGAGACCCUCAGGGUUCUCAGUGGGGGUGGCCUGACCCAUGUAUCUUCUCAGUAGAUUGUAGUGGCUGGAGAAUGAAUGGAUUGGAUUAUUAUGGGCCAGGCUAGGAGCAGAAAAUAAUUCACAAGUCCUCUGGGUAGCCAAGGUGGAAACUGGGAUGUGAGCAGGUCAAAUGGAGAGAAGUUAGCAUAUGUGAAAGAGUCCGUGGACGUGAUAGCUAGUGAUAAACUGGAUGAAGGUGGAGGGAGGUGGAAAUAUCACAGAAACCUUCUGGGGUUUGGGGCUUUGGAAAUGGCGUGGCUAGAGCGCCACUGAGUGACCCAGGAAAGGAGGGGGCGGGCGGCUCUGUCUGAGAUGGAGAGAGAGAGGGGCAUGAGAGAGGCUUGUCAUUUGCCGUAGGGAGCUGUGAUGAAGGAAGCUGGAGUGUGGAGAUGAGAAAAGAGCUCUGAACAGAAUGUGUGGGUCGUGGGCAUAGAUAAUGUAAUGUUCUAAUGCUGCGUAGGGAUACCUUGAGUCUCCGUAAUGUCUUAUGUGAUGCUUGAUGACAAAUUAGCCAAAGCACCAAGAAGUGAGGUCAUUUGCUCAAUGGAAUUUAAUCCUUGAAUAGCAGAACUGGAGGUGGGACCCAGACAGUCUGCCUGGCAGAGCCCUUUGUCAUAGGCACAGUGGGACAGAAGUCGGGAGCAUCCCCUUGCUGGCGAUCAGAAAGGUAGGACAAUGAGGGACGUGGCCGCAGCAGGUGGAAGCCGGUGUGAAGGCAGGAGGUGGGGCUACCUUGUGAUAGCUGCUCUCGCCAGGCAGGGUGGGGAGGGGAGCACGGGGCUGUGGCAACAGAGGGGAUGGGAUUGAAGGUUUUCUUUUUUCAGUUGAGAUGUAAUUGACAUAUAAUAUUGUGUAAGUUUAAAGGUGUAUGUGUGUUGAUUUGAGCCACUGUUACAUUACAGUAUGGUUCCCAUGCUAGCAUUGACUAACACUUCCACCAUGACACAUAUAUAUCAUUUCAUUUUUGUGGGUUUUUUUGGUAUGUGUUGAGAAUGAGAAUUUCUUUUAAAACGCAAGAAGUACUAGAACAUUUCAGUCUGUCAGGGUGAAUGAGCUAGUGGAUGGCAGGGGCUGAAGACGCUGUUUCUCAGAGGGACUGAUCCUGGCAUCUAAGCUUCUGAAAAGCUGCACAGCGAUGGGAUCCUAAGCCCACGUGGAGACUGACUUCUGUCACAAGAUUCAACACUUUCUGUGCUACAGUAGGAAGGAAGGAGGUGGUGGUUUAUAGACUGCGCUCCAUGACUCCCUUUACUCUUUAAGGAAGAGUGGGGUAGAGGCUGAAAGAGGUGAGGGCAGAGGGGAAGGUGGGUGUUGAGGCCCUGAGGGUGGAGCGUCAGAUGGCAGCAGGACCCGGGAGGAGGGCAGGCAGUGAGGUGCAGUGAGGUUUGGUGAACACGGAUGCAUGGAUUUCAUGUGGGUUUGGUCUACUCUCUAUAACACCAGUAACUAUAAUUGAUAGUUUUUGUAAAACAAGAUUAUUGGCUUGAAGUUUUGAUCCAUGUCUGACCCUGCACCAGAGUUGCCUUUCUCUAAAUAUCUAGAUAACCACACACACUCACACUUAGAUGUUUAUGAGAAAGUUAUGUAUAUUUCAGGUACUUCGUAUUCAUUAUAUGAUAGGAACAUAAAGUGUAAUUUUCGAAGUUUUCAAUUAAUUACAGUUUAGGCAUUUUAAGAAAGAGGAUGGAUUUAUGUCCUUGUCUUGGUAGCUGAGAUUACUUAAAGGGGGUCAUUUCCCCCCAAAUUCCUAAGAAUGGUGCAGAAAUUCUUUCAAAAGCGACUUCAAUUCUGACUUUAUCCUUUUAUGAAUACAUUUUUGAUCCUUUUAUCUUGAAAUGUGUAAUACAAAUCUAGUCAUACUUCUACAUAAAAAUUAUAUUGGGAAAUCAGACUUAUGGAUGUGUGCUUUUUAUUUGAUAUUUAAUAAUGCCCUAAGGCAGGUAAUUCAAAUUUUUAUUAAAGUGAAAUGAUUUGACAGUCAGACUUUGAAUUUAAUGCAUGAAUGUUUCAUUUAAGCUCUUGGAACUGAAAAGAAAAAAAAAAACUUUUUUCUGAUAGUUCUCUAAAAAAUGUUCAAAAUAAUUCAGAUUUAUUUUAGCUAUGUUUUACUAAAAUAACUUUAGUUUUUGGACUUAAAAUGACAUUUUUUUUUGCAUGACAUGGCUAGACAUCUGGAGGGCUUUGAUAACCAAGACUUAUUAUUCCCAUGAAUAAUCUGUGACUUUUAAUAUUACCAUUUAAGAAGUAUGAGCUGUGCUUUUGUACUUGUUUAAAGAGUUAGCAUAUACCUCACUCAGGUGCAGGGCUGGCUCAGAUUUCUGGGAGCCCAUUUACCUCUUGAACUUUCUGUAUGAUGUAGGAGAACCAACCUUAGGAACAGCAAAGCAAAACUAAGACCAGGCGUUACAUCCAGUUUCCUCGCUGCCCUUGGUAUCAUGACAUUGGUACUAGUCUUCCAAUGGAACGAUUAUUUGCCCGUUUGUUUCAUUAAAUAUUAUCCAAUUAAAAAACUAUUCUGAUUAUUCAGAGACUUGCCUGUUUUCCCUGUGACUCAAAUACUAUUAAACUGCUCACGUGUGUACAAUGACUAUAAUUCAUUAUAGUUAUUUAUUUUCUAUAAAAACCAAUGCCAUAGAGCUCUUUGAAUAAUCCCCUUUUGACCUCUUAAAAGGGGAAGAUAUAAGUGUACCCCAAGUAGACUAGAAAAAAAAAAGAAAAAA